UACCUACAUACAUGAAAUCUUUAAAAAAGA
rnacentral:piRNA from 1 species